UUUUAAUGGGUCAAGAGGUCAGUGGAAGAAGUGCAGUGGAGGAAGGCAAAAGGCUAUGUUCUACAUGUUAAAUUCAAAUCUGAAUUUCUGCAUCCAGUCCAUAUAUCCGGCCCAGUAUCCACAUAUGUUUUCCUAACAUUCCAGGCUGAUGGAAUAUCUUCAGGCCAUGAGCGGAGAGGUGAAACAUUU